GAUCCUGGCUCAGGAUGAACGCUGGCGGCGUGCUUAACACAUGCAAGUCGAACGAAGCAGCUUCUGCUGCAAGAAGCUGACUAGUGGCGGACGGGUGAGUAACGCGUGGGUAACCUGCCUCAUACAGGGGGAUAACAGUUGGAAACGACUGCUAAGACCGCAUAACCCGCUAGUGUCGCGAUCGACACGGACGGAAAAAUAUUUAUAGGUAUGGAGAGUGGGCCCGCGUCUGAUUAGCUAGUUGGUAAGGUAACGGCUUACCAAGGCGACGAUCAGUAGCCGACUUGAGAGAGUGAUCGGCCACAUGGGACUGAGACACGGCCCAAACUCCUACGGGAGGCAGGCAGUGGGGAAUAUUGGACAAUGGGGGAAACCCUGAUCCAGCCGACGCCGCGUGAGUGAAGAAGUAUUUCGGUAUGUAAAGCUCUAUCAGCAGGGAAGAUAAUGACAGUACCUGACUAAGAAGCCCCGGCUAACUACGUGCCAGCCGCCGC
rnacentral:rRNA from 1 species